rnacentral:lncRNA from 1 species
GAGGUAAAUUACAGGAUGUGCUCCAGCAGGCCAGGGAAUAAGAACUUGCCCGUACACUGGUAUCCACAAAGAAUCCAAUUUCAUAUCUCAAGAAUCAAAUCAUCACAUUGUGACUGCCAGCAAGAUUGAGACUACCUCACUCUUGUCAUUUGUACAACUGAAUUAUACCUCGAGGGGUUUUAUGGGCGACAUAUAGUACAAGCUCCAAGUGACCCCUAAACCUGGCAAUGUCAGAGCCAAUACAUAAAUAAAAUUAUUUAUAUCUUAAUCUUAAUUAUUUGUUUAAGAAUAAUUCAAAAUUUUAUACGCGACAGAGUGUUGAAUUCGGCAAUAAUGAAUUCUCUCUCCCCUCCUUGUCGAUGGAAAUACUGUUUAUGUCUG